UACGGGGGGGGCAAGCGUUGUUCGGAAUUAUUGGGCGUAAAGGGUGCGUAGGCGGUCUGACAAGUCUGAUGUGAAAUCUAUGGGCUCAACCCAUAGUCUGCAUCGGAAACUGUCGGGCUUGAGUAUGGGAGAGGUGAGUGGAAUUUCCGGUGUAGCGGUGAAAUGCGUAGAUAUUCGCAAGAACACCAGUGGCGAAGGCGGCUCACUGGCCCGGUACUGACGCUGAGGUGCGAAAGCGUGGGGAGCAAACAGG
rnacentral:rRNA from 1 species